GGAUGAGAUAUCAAAUAUUAGCUGGAAUUGCUGGAGUAGAAGCUAUGAUAAAACAUACAUAAUAUGAAAUUUUCCAACUUAAGCACUUCUAAGUGUACACAUAGUACUGCUAGGUACACAAUCUUAAGCAACCAAUCUCCAGAACUUUUUCUGCUUUAAAGUUAAAACUCUAUGCUGAUUAAACAACAACUUUUUAUUUUAUGGAGUCCUUUUCACGUGGUAGCCACCAUUCUACUUUCUUUUCUUUUCUUUUUUUUUUUUUAAUGAAUUUGACUAGUUUAGAUACCUUAUAAAGAGGAAUUACAGUGUUUGUCUUUUUGUGACUUAUUAACUUAGCCUAAUGAUACCAAGUUUCAUCCACAUUGUAGCAUAAACCACAUAGUGUCUGUCUGUUCAUUCCUUGGUAGAUGCUGGGAUUGUACUGUUAUGAAUAUGGAUGCGCAAAUAUGCCUUUGAGAGCCUGAUUUUAAUUCUUAUGGAUAAAUAUCCAGAAGGGGGAUUGCUGCAUCAUAUGCUGCUGUGAAAAGGGUUGAAUUCUUGAUUUGAUUCUCAGCUUGAAGUCUGCAUAGCCAAAGCAAGACUAAGCAAAAAGAACAAAUCUGGAGGUAUCACAUUACCCAACUUCAAACUACUACAGAGCUGUAGCUACUGAAACAUGAUGGCAAAGGUAUAAAAACAGACAUGUAGACCAAUGGAACAACAUAGAGAAUCCAGAAAUAAAAUUGAAUACUUAUAGCCAUCUGAUCUUUGACAAAACAAACAAAAACAUAAAGCGGAGAAAGGACAGCCUAUUCAACCAUUGGUGCUGGGAUAAUUGACAAGCCACAUGUAGUAGAAUGGUACUGAAUUCACAUCUCUCACCUUAUAAGAUAGAUGAAGGAAUUAAAUCUAAGACCUGAAACAAUAAAAAUUCUAGAAGAUAACAUCAGAAAGUCUUUUCUAGACAUUGGCUUAGACAAGGACUUCAUGACCAAGAACCCAAAAGCAAAUACAACAAAAACAAACAUAGAUCGACGUGACUUAAACUAAAAAUCUUCUGCACAGCAAAAGAAAUAAUCAGCUGAGUAAACAGACAACUCACAGAGUGGGAGAAAAUAUUCACAAACUAUGCAUCUGACAAAUGACUAAUAUUCAGAAUCUACAAAGAGUUUGAACAAAUCGACAAGAGGAAAACAAAUAAUAUGAUCAAAAAGUAGGCUAAGAUCAUGAAUUGACAAUUCUCAAAAGAAAAUAUACAAAUGGCCAACAAACAGAAAAAAAUGCUCAACAUCACUAAUUAUCAUGGAAAUGCAAAUCAAAACCACAAUGCAAUACCACUGUCCUCCUGUAAGAAUGGACAUCAUUAAAAAACCCCAAAAUAAUAUAAUAUUGGCAUGGAUGUGGUAAAAGGAAACACAUAAACUAGCACAACCACUACAGAAAACAGUAUGGAGAUUCCUUAAAGAACUAAAAGUAGAUCUACAUUUUUACCCACCUAUCCUAUUACUGGGUAUCUACCCAUAAAAAAAGAAGUCAUUAUAUGCAAAGACUCAUGCACACACAUCUUUACAGCAGUACAAUUCCCAAUUGUAAAAAUAUGGAACAAACCUAAAUGCCCAUCAAGCAAUGGGUGUAUUAAAAAAAUGUGGUAUACACACACACACACACCGUGGAAUACUACUCAGCCAUAAAAAGGAACAAAAUAAUGCCAUUCAUAGCAACCUGGAUGCAGCUGGAGACCAUUAUUCUAAGUGAAGUAAUUCAGGAUUAGGUAACCAAAUAUUUUAACUUCUCACUUACAAGUGGGAGCUAAGCUAUGAAAAUGCAAAGGCAUAAGAAUAAUACAAUGGACUCUCAGGACUCAGGGAAGGGUCAGAGUGAGAAGAGGGAUAAAAGACUACACGUUGGGUGCUGUGUACACUGCUCGGGUAAUGGGUGUGCCAAAAUUUCAGAAAUCACAACUAAGGAAUUUAUCCAUCUAAUCAAACACCACCUGUUCCCUAAAGUCUCUUGAAAUAAUUUAAAAUGUAAGAAUAAAAUCGACCAGAUGAAUAUUUUUAAAUGACCAGAAAAAAAUGGGUAAACUGAGGCUCACGGUGAAAGACUGGCUCAGCAGAAGGGUGGGACUGGACCCCAGCUUUCCUGACUUUUAGCCCCGUGUUCUUUCCACCACUCACUCACUCAUUUCUUCAUUUUUAAUUUGUUUUAUUUUUUGGACAAACAUGUAUUGAUUUUCUUGGUAUCAUAUGGAAAGUCUGAAUUGGUUCAUAGAGCAAAAGACUUUGUAAAAUAGUUCAAUAUUACCGUAGGAAGCAGGUAGCAGUUGCUGUAUUUCUAAUUCCAUAUACAUUCCACUGCGAAAUGACUAAAGCUCUAAAAAGUUAAACAUUUUGCCAUAACUUUUAGGAAAAAAACUGACACUUAAGCAGUAUGCACCGUAAGAGCCAAGCAGCAGUACUCAUCUCAAAAUAGCAAAAGCAAGAGAGACAUUUUUUAUACAAUUCAAUUGUUUAACAGUUCCUUUAGCAACAGUUAAAAUAUGAAAAUCCUGCUUAAAAUGAAGCCAAAGUAUUCUGAGUAUUUGCAAAACAGUACCGAUACUCUUAAUACUCUUGUGUUUAAGUACAAUAUGUGAAAUGUACUUAAGCUCAGUAAAAAUGUUUUCAUGUAACCUGUGAAUGGGAGCAACACAUUUCAAUAUAAGCUCGACAAAUUUAAAUACAAGUUCAUAUGGCUUUAUACUAUUUUAUAAUUUCGCUAGUACUUUCCUUCUCAACAAAAAGUAUUUCUAAGGUAUUAAAUCUCUGAAAAACAAAUUUUUAUUUGACAAGGUAAGUAAGUUUUGAAGAGAUUUUCUGUCACAGAAAGAAAGGAAUCUUGCUUCAUAACCUUUCUUGUUAGAAUAAACUGAAGAAGUCUCGUCUAUCAGGUUUCCUAGCUUCAAGCUUCAAAUACAACUACAGCUAAUCUCUUUUUCCCUUCUUUCCAGUUCUAGCAAACUUCCAGACACAAAACAUACAACAUUUUGUGAUGAUAAAUAUCACAGUUGCCACAU
rnacentral:lncRNA from 10 species